AAGACCAUUCGUCUACUGCUCCUAAGCAUGGAGGAGAGAGAUAAUACCAUCCUUCUCCUAAGCAUGGAGGAGAGAGAUAAGACCAGACGUCUCCUGCUCCUAAGCAUGGAGGAGAGAGAUAAUACCAUCCUUCUCCUGCUCCUAAGCAUGGAGGAGAGAGAUAAUACCAUCCUUCUCCUGCUCCUAAGCAUGGAGGAGAGAGAUAAGACCAGACGUCUACUGCUCCUAGGAGGAGAGAGAGAGAUAAGACCAGACGUCUACUGCUCCUAGGAGGAGAGAGAGAGGUAAGACCAGACGUCUACUGCUCCUAGGAGGAGAGAGAGAGGUAAGACCAGACGUCUACUGUUCCUAAGCAUUGAGGAGAGAGAUAAUACCAUCCUUCUCCUGCUCCUAAGCAUGGAGGAGAGAGGUAAGACCAGACGUCUACUGCUCCUAGGAGGAGAGAGAGAGAUAAGACCAGACGUCUACUGCUCCUAGGAGGAGAGAGAGAGAUAAGACCAGACGUCUACUGCUCCUAAGCAUGGAGGAGAUAGAGAGAGAUAAGACCAUUCGUCUACUGCUCCUAAGCAUGGAGGAGAGAGAUAAUACCAUCCUUCUCCUGCUCCUAAGCAUGGAGGAGAGAGAUAAUACCAUCCUUCUCCUGCUCCUAAGCAUGGAGGAGAGAGAUAAGACCAGACGUCUACUGCUCCUAGGAGGAGAGAGAGAGAUAAGACCAGACGUCUACUGCUCCUAGGAGGAGAGAGAGAGGUAAGACCAGACGUCUACUGCUCCUAGGAGGAGAGAGAGAGAUAAGACCAGACGUCUACUGCUCCUAGGAGGAGAGAGAGAGGUAAGACCAGACGUCUACUGUUCCUAAGCAUGGAGGAGAGAGAUAAUACCAUCCUUCUCCUGCUCCUAAGCAUGGAGGAGAGAGGUAAGACCAGACGUCUACUGCUCCUAGGAGGAGAGAGAGAGAUAAGACCAGACGUCUACUGCUCCUAGGAGGAGAGAGAGAGGUAAGACCAGACGUCUACUGUUCCUAAGCAUGGAGGAGAGAGAUAAUACCAUCCUUCUCCUGCUCCUAAGCAUGGAGGAGAGAGAUAAGACCAGACGUCUACUGUUCCUAAGCAUGGAGGAGAGAGAUAAUACCAUCCUUCUCCUGCUCCUAAGCAUGGAGGAGAGAGAUAAGACCAGACGUCUACUGCUCCUAGGAGGAGAGAGAGAGAUAAGACCAGACGUCUACUGCUCCUAAGCAUGGAGGAGAGAGGUAAGACCAGACGUCUACUGCUCCUAAGCAUGGAGGAGAGAGGUAAGACCAGACGUCUACUGCUCCUAAGCAUGGAGGAGAGAGGUAAGACCAGAUGUCUACUGCUCCUAAGCAUGGAGGAGAGAGAUAAGACCAGACGUCUACUGCUCCUAAGCAUGGAGGAGAGAGAGAGAUAAGACCAGACGUCUACUGUUCCUAAGCAUGGAGGAGAGAGAUAAGACCAGACGUCUACUGUUCCUAAGCAUGGAGGAGAGAGAUAAGACCAGACGUCUACUGUUCCUAAGCAUGGAGGAGAGAGAGAGAAC